rnacentral:rRNA from 1 species
UGAGGAAUAUUGGUCAAUGGGGGCAACCCUGAACCAGCCAUGCCGCGUGGAGGAAGACGGCCCUAUGGGUUGUAAACUCCUUUUGUACGGGAAUAAUAGCACCUACGUGUAGGUGUAUGAAGGUACUGUACGAAUAAGCAUCGGCUAACUCCGUGCCAGCAGCCGCGGUAAUACGGAGGAUGCAGGCGUUAUCCGGAUUUAUUAGGUUUAAAGGGUGCGCAGGCGGCCCUAUAAGUCAGUGGUGAAAGUUUGCGGCUUAACCGUAAAAUUGCCAUUGAUACUGUAGGGCUUGAAUGUGGUAGAGGUAGGCGGAAUGUGUAGUGUAGCGGUGAAAUGCUUAGAUAUUACACAGAACACCGAUUGCGAAGGCAGCUUACUAUGCCAUGAUUGACGCUGAGGCACGAAAGCGUGGGUAGCGAACAGG